rnacentral:rRNA from 1 species
UGGGGAAUAUUGCACAAUGGGGGAAACCCUGAUGCAGCGACGCCGCGUGAGCGAAGAAGGUUUUCGAAUCGUAAAGCUCUGUCCUAUGAGAAGAUAAUGACGGUAUCAUAGGAGGAAGCCCCGGCUAAAUACGUGCCAGCAGCCGCGGUAAUACGUCUGGGGCGAGCGUUGUCCGGAAUUAUUGGGCGUAAAGGGUACGUAGGCGGUCUAUUAAGUCAGGUGUGAAAGCGUGAGGCUUAACCUCAUUAAGCACUUGAAACUGAUAGUCUUGAAUGAAGGAGAGGAGAGUGGAAUUCCUAGUGUAGCGGUGAAAUGCGUAGAUAUUAGGAGGAAUACCGGUGGCGAAGGCGACUUUCUGGACUUUUACUGACGCUCAGGUACGAAAGCGUGGGGAGCAAACAGG